UACGUAGGCAGCGAGCGUUGUUCGGAGUUACUGGGCGUAAAGGGUGUGUAGGCGGUUGUUUAAGUUUGGUGUGAAAUCUCCCGGCUCAACUGGGAGGGUACGCCGAAUACUGAAUGACUUCGAGUGCGGGAGAGGAGAGUGGAAUUCCUGGUGUAGCGGUGAAAUGCGUAGAUAUCAGGAGGAACACCGGUGGUGUAGACGGCUCUCUGGACCGUAACUGACGCUGAGACACGAAAGCGUGGGUAGCAAACAGG
rnacentral:rRNA from 1 species